AAGACUAUAGACCUGCGGAGUACCUGCGGAGGGAUCAUUACAAAUCCAAAACAAUGACUCGUUGAAAUGUUCUCGGCCUUGGGGUGUGGCAUCCACUUUAUCCACCGUCGGUGGUGUCGUGGACCCGCCACGCCAAAGAGAAAAGAGAAGCUGGCAUACGUGCAUCGCUUCUCUAACCUCUGAAACCAAGGUUCGCACAAUGACGCUUUUCAUAUUGACAUUUACGUAUCAGUGAUAACA
rnacentral:misc_RNA from 1 species